rnacentral:rRNA from 1 species
UACGGGGGGUGCGAGCGUUGUCCGGAAUUAUUGGGCGUAAAGAGCUCGUAGGCGGCCAGUUGCGUCUGCUGUGAAAUCCCGGGGCUCAACCCCGGGCGUGCAGUGGAUACGGGCUGGCUAGAGGCAGGCAGGGGAGAACGGAAUUCCCGGUGUAGCGGUGAAAUGCGCAGAUAUCGGGAGGAACACCGGUGGCGAAGGCGGUUCUCUGGGCCUGUACUGACGCUGAGGAGCGAAAGCGUGGGGAGCGAACAGG